rnacentral:rRNA from 1 species
CCUACGGGAGGCAGCAGUGGGGAAUAUUGCACAAUGGGGGAAACCCUGAUGCAGCGACGCCGCGUGAGUGAAGAAGUAUUUCGGUAUGUAAAGCACUAUCAGCAGGGAAGAAGCAAGACGGUACCUGACUAAGAAGCCCCGGCUAACUACGUGCCAGCAGCCGCGGUAAUACGUAGGGGGCAAGCGUUAGACGGAUUUACUGGGUGUAAGGGGAGCGUAGACGGUAUGGCAAGUCUGAAGUGAAAGCCCCGGGCUUAACCCUGGAACUGCUUUGGAAACUGUUAGACUAGAGUGCUGGAGAGGUAGGUAGAAUUCCAGGUGUAGCGGUGAAAUGCGUAGAUAUUAGGAGGAACACCAGUGGCGAAGGCGGCUUACUGGACAGUAACUGACGUUGAGGCGCGAAAGCGUGGGGAGCAAACAGGAUUAGAUACCCCUGUAGUC